rnacentral:rRNA from 1 species
CAAGUCGAACGGCAGCACGGAGAGCUUGCUCUCUGGUGGCGAAUGGCGAACGGGUGAGUAAUAUAUCGGAACGUAUCCAAUAAUGGGGGAUAACGAGUCGAAAGAUUCGCUAAUACCGCAUACGCCCUACGGGGGAAAGCAGGGGAUCGUAAGACCUUGCGUUAAUGGAGCGGCCGAUAUCUGAUUAGCUUGUUGGUGAGGUAAAGGCUCACCAAGGCGACGAUCAGUAGCUGGUUUGAGAGAACGACCAGCCACACUGGAACUGAGACACGGUCCAGACUCCUACGGGAGGCAGCAGUGGGGAAUUUUGGACAAUGGGGGCAACCCUGAUCCAGCCAUUCCGCGUGAGUGAAGAAGGCCUUCGGGUUGUAAAGCUCUUUCGCAAGGGAAGAAAACUUAUGAUCGAAUAAAUCAUGAGGUUGACGGUACCUUGAUAAGAAGCACCGGCUAACUACGUGCCAGCAGCCGCGGUAAUACGUAGGGUGCGAGCGUUAAUCGGAAUUACUGGGCGUAAAGCGUGCGCAGGCGGUUUUGUAAGUCGGAUGUGAAAUCCCCGGGCUCAACCUGGGAACUGCGUUCGAAACUGCAAGGCUAGAGUGUGUCAGAGGGGGGUAGAAUUCCACGUGUAGCAGUGAAAUGCGUAGAGAUGUGGAGGAAUACCAAUGGCGAAGGCAGCCCCCUGGGAUAACACUGACGCUCAUGCACGAAAGCGUGGGGAGCAAACAGGAUUAGAUACCCUGGUAGUCCACGCCCUAAACGAUGUCAACUAGUUGUUGGUAGAGUAAAAUCUAUGAGUAACGUAGCUAACGCGUGAAGUUGACCGCCUGGGGAGUACGGUCGCAAGAUUAAAACUCAAAGGAAUUGACGG